UCCCUGGUGGUCCAGUGGUUAAGACUCCAAGCUCCCAAUACAAAGGGCCCAGAUUCGAUUCCUGGUCAGGGAA
rfam:TPA: Bos taurus chromosome 1, whole genome shotgun sequence.